UAGUUCUAACCCCAGAAUUCCUUUGUCAAUUCCUUCUAAAGUAACAAGGUAAUUAUUGGCCAGAUAAUUAAUCAAUCAGCACAAAGCAAGAUGAAUAAUUCACUUCAACAUAAAUAAUUGAAAUAAAUCAAAUAAUCAAUUCAUAACCAUAAAAGGUUUAAUUGGAAUCUUAAUUAAAGAAAUUAGUUCAUAACGAAAAUUAAAACCAACAAUAUUUGAAAAAUCAUCCUUAAUGAAUUACACAAAUUGAAAGAAUAAAGAAGAAGAAGAGGAAAACUCCAAGUAAAUUCUUCAAAAUCUCCCUCAGCUCCUUGAUCAGCCUCCAAAUUGUGUAGAAAAAUCCCCUAAUUCAAUACAAAUAAUCAAUUUAUACUUCACUUGUCCAACCACAAUCCAAUUCAAACUCAAUUUUUCUCAGAAAACCACCUCUUUAAUGAUUUUAAAGCAAGUCAACGCCAGUCAAACGCGCUUUCCUGGUCAACUGAGAUUCCGACCCAGCUCCCCGGCGCUGGGAUUUACACUGAAUAGAGCGCCCCGACGCUGUGAGGCAGAAAGUGUCAAUCAUGCCCUAUUUUAGCUCAAAUUCUCCCAAGUGUUCUCACCAAUCCCAAACCUGCAAAUCAAAACAUAAACACAGUAAAAAUGCUACUAACAGACUCGAGAAUACACAAAUCUAAGCCCAAGUAUAUCCGAUUCAUGGGUAUAUUACCCAAUCAUCACAUAUAAUAUUAGAUUCUGUAAACAGAAUUCACAAUCAAAGCUCAAAAUUUUAGCAUCAAAGAGUCACACCAGUCACCAUGAGACUCAAAACUCCUGCACGACAAUUGAAGCUAAUCUUGAAACUGCAGCAAUUGCAGAGUAUGACAGAUCGAAUUUAAUCGAAAAGGCUAGGCGUUAAAUAUUGGAGCUGGCGGAUGUAAGCCGAGCGAGGAGGAUGUAGACGAGAGUCGAGACGCCAAAAGGUCAGGCUCCCAAAAUUACUCAUUGAUCUAGGUCAAAUGUUAAGAGAGAACGGAGUGGGUAAAGGGUGUGGUUCUGAGAUAUACUCCAACGCCGGUUGCCAUUCAGAUCGACCCCAACACAUUGAAAUUUAGGUCUGAAGUAUAUUGUGGGAAAUUUGGGGAUUUUUUACUUGAAAAAAUAAUGUAAAGUAUAAACUUUAUUUUUGACGAAAAAUAUUUGGCGCUUAAAUUUUUCACUUAUAUUUUUCUAGAAUUUUUGUAGGUUAUUAAUAUCCAACAAACUAAAUUAGAAAAGCAUUUGUCUCUCAUAAAAAAGUUCUUAACUAAAAUAUAUUGCGAAAACAACUUCCUUC
rnacentral:lncRNA from 1 species